CCUACGGGAGGCAGCAGUGAGGAAUAUUGGUCAAUGGGCUUACGCCUGAACCAGCCAAGUCGCGUGAGGGAAGACUGCCCUAUGGGUUGUAAACCUCUUUUGUCAGGGAGCAACGCCGGCUACGUGUAGCCGGACUGAGAGUACCUGAAGAAAAAGCAUCGGCUAACUCCGUGCCAGCAGCCGCGGUAAUACGGAGGAUGCGAGCGUUAUUCGGAUUUAUUGGGUUUAAAGGGUGCGUAGGCGGACUGGAAAGUCAGCGGUAAAAUCGAGAGGCUCAACCUCUUUCCGCCGUUGAAACUGUCGGUCUUGAGUGGGCGAGAAGUAUGCGGAAUGCGUGGUGUAGCGGUGAAAUGCAUAGAUAUCACGCAGAACUCCGAUUGCGAAGGCAGCAUACCGGCGCCCGACUGACGCUGAGGCACGAAAGCGUGGGUAUCGAACAGGAUUAGAUACCCUAGUAGUC
rnacentral:rRNA from 1 species